CACUCAGACGCACACACAGAGGUGCCCGCUGCUGUGCUGCAGGACACGGGAAUGCCGCCCCAACGAGAAGGAAAUGCCCACGGCCUGUAUAUGAUGUUGGCACAGUGUCCCUAAAAACAGGGGGAAGCUAUCUACUUUACGUUAAAUUACCAAGGUUGGAUAUAAAAUUUGAAUCUCACCUAAGAAAAAAAAAAAAGCCCAAACCCUGGAGAGAAACAAUAUAUGAAAAUGUUCAGCCCUGGCUGGUGUGGCUCAGUGGAUUGAGCACCGGCCUGCGAACCAAAGGGUCACCAAGUUCAAUUCCCAGUCAGGGCACAUGCCUG